UAUUACUAAGACUUUGUUUUAAUAAUUGAUAGAUAAAUGGUGGCACAGAAUCGGAGGCCCCGACUGUUUACUAAAAACACAACACAGUGCAAUCAUUAAUAUGGUAGUAUACUGUGUGAAAUUUGCCCAAUGCCAUUAAUAUAAAAGCGGUCAUAGGAAACUGUGACUAAUUGAAAAUCUGGUUAAUAGCGGUCUUAACCAUGAGGAUCCUAAGGUAGCAAAAUAAAUUGGCCAUUAAAUGUGGUCCGGUAUCAAUAAUGUAACGAUGGCCUCACUGUCUCUACAACUUGCUCAGUGAAAUUGAAUUACGCGUGCAGAUGCGCGUUACCUCAGUGGACGGGAAGACCUAU
rnacentral:rRNA from 1 species